CACGUAGGGUGCGAGCGUUGUCCGGAAUUAUUGGGCGUAAAGAGCUCGUAGGCGGUGUGUCGCGUCGGCCGUGAAAACCUGCAGCUUAACUGUGGGCUUGCGGUCGAUACGGGCAUCACUGGAGUUCGGCAGGGGAGACUGGAAUUCCUGGUGUAGCGGUGAAAUGCGCAGAGAUCGGGAGGAACACCCGUAGCGAAGGCGGCACUCUGGGCCGGUACUGACGCUCAGGCACGAAAGCGUGGGGAGCAAACAGG
rnacentral:rRNA from 1 species